CCAUCCCGGCUUACCAACCCGAUGCAAACUGCGAAUACCGGAGAAUGUUAUCACGGGAGACACACGGCGGGUGCUAACGUCCGUCGUGAAGAGGGAAACAACCCAGACCGCCAGCUAAGGUCCCAAAGUCAUGGUUAAGUGGGAAACGAUGUGGGAAGGCCCAGACAGCCAGGAUGUUGGCUUAGAAGCAGCCAUCAUUUAAAGAAAGCGUAAUAGCUCACUGGUCGAGUCGGCCUGCGCGGAAGAUGUAACGGGGCUAAACCAUGCACCGAAGCUGCGGCAGCGACACUGUGUGUUGUUGGGUA
rnacentral:rRNA from 1 species